GGCUAUAAUUUACUUUCUCUUCUGCAGUUUGAAACUGGGUAAGCUCCUUCAAGACCUUUCUCUUCAGGUGGACAUUGUUUUUUGAAGCUCUGAGCGGCAUCAUAUAUCUCAGUUUCUUCAAACUGAGGUAAAUUACAUAGGACUUAAGAAUUAAGAAGUUGAGUUGUACAGUAAGGUUCUUCAAACUGGUAUACAUAGAAACAUCUUAGGAAGUUGAGCUUUGAAGAAAGGAAAGAGGAAAUCUGAUUACUUUUGUAGUUUGACCACAGUACUUUCACUUGAAUUUUUUGUGACAUUAGGGCUGUAAUUUUCUAAUCGCUCAGCAAUUUCCAAAGGCCCUUCACCAACCUUCUUGUUGCUUAGCAAAUGAUUGUUCAAACUUUGCAUGGCUUCAAUCAUCCCAGCUUCUUUAAACUGACAAGAGUUUUACAAAACAUUAGUGUCACAAGCCGGCUUCAAGGACUCAGAUCAAGCUAGGAGGAACAAUUGCUCAACGGUAUUGUUGUCAUACUACAUAUUGAAAGGAGGCUAGCGCCAUUUUGUUUGUUAGCGCUAAGCUUCCAUUGCCAUUUACCGGGCCCAGGAAGUGAACUACUUAAGAGGCUGUUGCUCAAUUUUACCAGUUGCGGCUAUUUUGACAGCGCAGGAGAAAUACCAAAGCCGAAUGAUGAGUCGGAGAAAUUAGAAAUUGAACAAGUAGAGCUUAGUUGAUUGGGAUUGUAACAGGGAUUGCAAUUCAGAAGCAACGCUGCUGGACCAAACCAAGAAGUGAUGCAUGACGACUGUACUCGUCAAGUGAAAAAGUUGGCCGAUUACAAGGAGUCAAUAAACGAAACCAGAUUUUUUUUGUAGAUUAUGUCGCAUGUUAAUAGCGUACUGAUUCUAAUUAUUUACUGGGGAUGUUACGUACGAGAAGCUGUUCCUUCGUCAGCCUUUAGCUCAGCAGUAGAAUUAUGGGGGAAAAUUGGUCUCAAUCUUACCUCUAAUCAUAAUAAUCGUUCAUCAUUGUAGAACGAAAAUAUGGUCUUGAGAAAAGAAAGAAAAUACGUAUUGGAUGACUUGCGUUUUAUCCAGAUAAGGACGGCGGCGAAGGAGGACAAUACAACUUGGGUUUGGUCGGUUUGAUCUUGAUUGUGUUGGUGGCUAUGACUUGUCACUGAAUAGCAUAGUGCAUUCCUUCCUGCUAAUCUGGUGAUCCCGAUCCGUAGGAAACUACUUAUUAGUGUAUUGAUCAUGAACUUGGAGGAACAUCAAGUGUUCGAGAUUUAACGUCAAAGAAAGCUAUUCGGAAAAUAUGUGCGCCUUAAUCUCCGGUGAUCUUUUCCUACCUACCACAGAAGAAAGAGACGUACAUAUUGGCUGCUCUUCUUGGCAGGCACCUUUUGCUGGAGCUUCUUUUUCUGUAUUAUCAGCAUAUCUCGAAAGCCCGGCAACUGGGAUUGUGUCACAUUCCUGAUUUUCUUUCUCUUGAUGUAGUCAUAAUUACGUGCCCCAAUUUGCAAUCUCAAAUGUGUUUUUUUUUUUGUUUA